UUGGUGAUCUAAUUUGCCCUAAAGAUUAGUCUAUUUGACCAGCGCAAAAGUGAUUCAUAUUUUGCAUCCACUCCAAAUUUUAGUAUCUAGUAAAGUCACAUUGCUGAUCAAAAUAUUCUUCCCUUCUACUUGGAAGCUCACCGCCUCACCCUUUCACUUUCAAAAUAUGUUUGAAUUAUUAAAAAACUUCACAAUUAUAUAUAUGUUAGAAAUUUUUUUUAUUAUACUACACAAAAAAGAAUUAUAUUUCCAAUAUUAUAUACCUUAAAACAAUUCCAUUUGCCAAUUAAGUUUGUGUGAUAUAUGGAAUUCCCCUCACAGUCUCUUACUGUAUCAGCUCCAUCUGUUAUGCGGUUGGAUUUGUUGUUUUAGUCUCAUCAGACUCAAAUUCUGAUCUAUCAAAUGCGGUCAUAUUUGCAGUCGCAUAUUGGAUGUUUCUCUUUAUUUUGAUUUCAUCAGCAUAUGCUUUUCUUAUCCGUCCAUCGUUAGAAAAUGGGCCACCUUAUAUGCAACAUGUUCCGUUAGAUGUUAUGAGGGAUGGAAUGUCCCAGUCUCUUACGAGGCUGGAACAAGCCUGUCCUCGGGUAAUGAAUCUCGUGUUUUCUCUGUUCAACAAGAUCAUCACAAUGAAUGGUAACUUCAACAGGUGGUGCAGUGAAUCUUUUCAGUGUUGAUAUACGGCGUAUUUGCUGCUUGCAUCUUUUUAUGCUUUUUGCGCGAGAAGUUGGAUUCAGUGAUCUUCAAAUAUGACAGAGGUUUUAGAGUCACUAGACAUGAGCAAGAUCCAGUAAUUCCACAGACACUACCGUUGUCUUCCAUAGAUAUCGAUGAUGUUGUUGUUCCUCUGCUACAGCAGACACUGUGAUUGCAUUAACAUGUACCGUCUUUUACGGCCAAUCUUGAUCCGUUGCAUUCCGACUCAGUCCCCUCAACAAACUUCAUCUAUAGAAUUACAUUGAGAUUGUUAAAAUUUAAUGUUUAACGCCUUUUUGAAAAGAGUUUAAAGUAGGUAUUUUGCCGUAAAUGUCAAAUGACUUUUAUUUUUAAAUUUUCUACUCAUUACUUACUUAUUAUAA